AAAUUUAGGUUACACAAACCAAAGACCUUCAAAGUCCUAAAUAGGCCCNUAAGCCUAAUUUCUG
rnacentral:tRNA from 1 species